CUCCUCCUCCAGAAGAUGUUGCCUGGUGCCCAGGAUGAGAACUGCAUUUAUUUGUGGCUGAAAACAUCCUUACAACAAAGACUUCACAGAGAAGAAGGUGCUUGAGUUCAGCUGAGCAUACAGAUACGAGAGAGAGACUUUGGGUGAACAUGAAUUCUUAGAAGGAUUGGCUAACUGGCACAGGUUGUGUCCUCGUUGUCAUCAUGCAGCAGCCUCCCAGAACAUUUAAGAGGGAAUGUGCUCUCACUGUAGUUCAGACUCCCACUCUUCUCUUACAGAAGCAAAGAGAUUUAUUAACUGCACUGGAAUUAAAAUAAAUAAUAGCAAUAAUUUUAAAAGUCCAUGAUAUUUUCAUUGUCACUUGCUUCUCAACUAGGAACUCUUAUCUAGAUGGAUGGAUUUAUUUCAGUUUUAUUAUACAUACACAGAAGCCUAAUUGGCUGCUGUUUUAAGACUCCUCCAAAAAAACAAAGUGAAAUACAAAAUGAAACAUCCCCUCCACAAAUGGCAGUGCUUUAAAUAAGAGCACAGCAUUUUGAACCACAGAUACCCAUUUUUAUCCUAACCUUCCAGUCAGGCACCAGUUUGUUAGCAAAGUAAAAUUCUAAACAGAGAUAAUAGACUCCAACCACAAGGUCUGACUUACAGGAAAAAAAAACAACA